rnacentral:rRNA from 1 species
CCUACGGGUGGCAGCAGUGAGGAAUAUUGGUCAAUGGACGAGAGUCUGAACCAGCCAAGUAGCGUGAAGGAUGUCUGCCCUAUGGGUUGUAAACUUCUUUUAUAUGGGAAUAAAAUGUUCCACGUGUGGGAUUUUGUAUGUACCAUAUGAAUAAGGAUCGGCUAACUCCGUGCCAGCAGCCGCGGUAAUACGGAGGAUCCGAGCGUUAUCCGGAUUUAUUGGGUUUAAAGGGAGCGUAGGUGGAUUGUUAAGUCAGUUGUGAAAGUUUGCGGCUCAACCGUAAAAUUGCAGUUGAAACUGGCAGUCUUGAGUAAAGUAGAGGUGGGCGGAAUUCGUGGUGUAGCGGUGAAAUGCUUAGAUAUCACGAAGAACUCCGAUUGCGAAGGCAGUUCACUGGACUGCAACUGACACUGAGGCUCGAAAGUGUGGGUAUCAAACAGGAUUAGAUACCCGUGUAGUC